rnacentral:rRNA from 1 species
UACAGAGGGUGCAAGCGUUGUUCGGAACUAUUGGGCGUAAAGCGCGUGUAGGCGGCAUGGCAAGUCGGGUGUGAAAGCCCUCAGCUUAACUGAGGAAGUGCGCCCGAAACUGCCGUGCUUGAGUGCCGGAGAGGGUGGCGGAAUUCCCCAAGUAGAGGUGAAAUUCGUAGAUAUGGGGAGGAACACCGGUGGCGAAGGCGGCCACCUGGACGGUAACUGACGCUGAGACGCGAAAGCGUGGGGAGCAAACAGG